rnacentral:rRNA from 1 species
CCAAGGCGGCGACGGGUAGCCGGCCUGAGAGGGUGACCGGCCACAUUGGGACUGAGAUACGGCCCAGACUCCUACGGGAGGCAGCAGUGGGGAAUAUUGCACAAUGGGCGGAAGCCUGAUGCAGCAACGCCGCGUGCGGGAUGACGGCCUUCGGGUUGUAAACCGCUUUCAGCAGGGACGAAGCUUUUUGUGACGGUACCUGGAGAAGAAGCACCGGCUAACUACGUGCCAGCAGCCGCGGUGAUACGUAGGGUGCGAGCGUUGUCCGGAAUUACUGGGCGUAAAGAGCUCGUAGGUGGUUUGUCGCGUCGUCUGUGAAAUUCCGGGGCUUAACUCCGGGCGUGCAGGCGAUACGGGCAUAACUUGAGUACUGUAGGGGUAACUGGAAUUCCUGGUGUAGCGGUGGAAUGCGCAGAUAUCAGGAGGAACACCGGUGGCGAAGGCGGUUCUCUGGGCAUUACCUGACGCUGAGGAGCGAAAGUGUGGGGAGCGAACAGGAUUAGAUACCCUGGUAGUCCACGCCGUA